UACAGAGGGGCGAGCGUUGUUCGGAAUUACUGGGCGUAAAGGGCGCGUAGGUGGCCUGCUAUGUCGAACGUGAAAUCCCUGGGCUCAACCCAGGAACUGCGUCCGAAACUGGCAGGCUCGAAUCCGGGAGAGGGAUGUGGAAUUCCAGGUGUAGCGGUGAAAUGCGUGAGAUAUCUGGAGGAACACCGGUGGCGAAGGCGGCAUCCUGGACCGGUAUUGA
rnacentral:rRNA from 1 species